AUCACCCUUUAAUAAAACUGAUAUUGUAUGUUAUUUUUUAAUAAAAAAAGUGAUAUUGAGUCACUUUUUUAAAAAAAGUGUCAAUUUUUAUUUUAAAAAAAAAGUGACAUUGUGACAUUUUUUUAUAUAACAUAGUAUUUUUUACUUUUAGAAAACUUUUCACAUGAUUUUUUAAAAGACCUUUAAUUUUAAGGGUAUUUUUGCAGGUUGCCCUUUUAAUUACUGUACAUUUGGCCCAUGAUAGGCCGGCGUAACCCGACGAGUUUAAAGAAAAUCCCUGGCCCAUUUGUUGUUUAAAACCGAACGGGUCAACUAAGUUCAAUAGAAUUCCAAAUUUUCUAGAUUUCUCACACACGCUUAAAAAUCCUUCUCUGCCGUCCCUUGCAAUCCCAUCAUAGGAAUCCAAAAUCUUCCAUUCCAAAUUGUGUUAGAUGGAAUAACAUGUAAGUCUGAAAUUUAAGUUCUAUUUUGUGACUUUUUGUGUAAUGAACUCAUUAUAUAUCAAGAAAAUGAUGUUUCUUUGACACCAACGUUGCUGGCUCUGUUGAUAGAUAUAUGGGUUUUGAUUUCCAAUUGGUUUCCUGUUGGUUAAGCUUCUUUCCCUUCCCCAGAAUCCAAAAUCAAUAUCUGCCCAAACUCAUAUUUCCCUUUAAUUUCAUGUUUGUUUCAAAUCCCUUUUUCCUUCCAAUUUUAGUGCAUAAUUAGUUUUAUUGGUCAAUUGAAUCACCACAUCCUUUUGCAGUUUGCUUUCAUUUAUGUAUAGACUAAGUUUUUUAAGUCCAACAAUUUGCAUACGAAUUUUUGCUUAUCCAAAUUUGAUUGGCUUUUUUGUCAAUUUAAUACCUAUAGUACCUAAUGUCAAUUUAAAAAUGUCUGCCUUGUAUUAAAAAUAAUUAUUUAGAAAUUUUAACAUUAUUAUUCAG
rnacentral:lncRNA from 1 species